rnacentral:rRNA from 1 species
UACAGAGGGUGCAAGCGUUGCUCGGAAUCAUUGGGCGUAAAGGGCAAGUAGGUGGUCUCAUUUGUCUAGGGUGAAAUCCUUGAGCUUAACUCAAGAAGUGCCCUAGAAACGGUGAGACUCGAGUUCUGGAGAGGGUCGUGGAAUUCCCGGUGUAGCGGUGAAAUGCGUAGAGAUCGGGAGGAACACCGGUGGCGAAGGCGGUCUGCUGGGCAGUAGCUGACGCUGAUGCGCGACAGCGUGGGGAGCAAACAGG